rnacentral:rRNA from 1 species
UUACGGCCACAUCACGUUGAAACAACGGUUCCCGUACAAUCACCGAAGUUAAGCAACGUCGUGCCUGGUCAGUACCGAGAUGGGUGACCUGGGAAUACCAGGUGCUGUAAG